rnacentral:rRNA from 1 species
UACGUGGGGGGCAAGCGUUGUCCGGAUUUAUUGGGCGUAAAGAGCGUGUAGGCGGCCAAGCAGGUCCGCUGUGAAAACUCGAGGCUCAACCUCGAGACGUCGGUGGAAACCGUUUGGCUAGAGUCCGGAAGAGGAGAGUGGAAUUCCCGGUGUAGCGGUGAAAUGCGCAGAUAUCGGGAAGAACACCCGUGGCGAAGGCGGCUCUCUGGGACGGUACUGACGCUGAGGCACGAAAGCGUGGGGAGCAAACAGG